rnacentral:rRNA from 1 species
GUGUCAGCAGCCGCGGUAAUACGUAGGGGGCAAGCGUUGUCCGGAAUUAUUGGGCGUAAAGCGCGCGCAGGCGGUUCGUUAAGUCUAAUGGUAAAGCCCGGGGCUCAACCCCGGUGUUCAUUGGAAACUGGCGGUACUUCGAGUGCAGGAGAGGGAAGCGGAAUUCCACGUGUAGCGGUGAAAUGCGUAGAGAUGUGGAGGAACACCAGUGGCGAAGGCGGCUUCCUGGCCUGUAACUGACGCUGAGGCGCGAAAGCGUGGGGAGCAAACAGGAUUAGAUACCCCCGUAGUCC